rnacentral:rRNA from 1 species
AGUGAACGCUGGCGGUAGGCCUAACACAUGCAAGUCGAACGGCAGCACAGGAGAGCUUGCUCUCUGGGUGGCGAGUGGCGGACGGGUGAGGAAUGCAUCGGAAUCUACUCUUUCGUGGGGGAUAACGUAGGGAAACUUACGCUAAUACCGCAUACGACCUACGGGUGAAAGCCGGGGACCUUCGGGCCUGGCGCGAAAGAAUGAGCCGAUGCCCGAUUAGCUAGUUGGCGGGGUAAGAGCCCACCAAGGCGACGAUCGGUAGCUGGUCUGAGAGGAUGAUCAGCCACACUGGAACUGAGACACGGUCCAGACUCCUACGGGAGGCAGCAGUGGGGAAUAUUGGACAAUGGGCGCAAGCCUGAUCCAGCCAUACCGCGUGGGUGAAGAAGGCCUUCGGGUUGUAAAGCCCUUUUGUUGGGAAAGAAAAGCAGUCGGUUAAUACCCGAUUGUUCUGACGGUACCCAAAGAAUAAGCACC